UAAUACGUAGGGUGCAAGCGUUAAUCGGAAUUACUGGGCGUAAAGCGUGCGCAGGCGGUUGUGUAAGUCUGAUGUGAAAGCCCCGGGCUUAACCUGGGAACUGCAUUGGAGACUGCACAGCUAGAGUGCGUCAGAGGGGGGUAGAAUUCCGCGUGUAGCAGUGAAAUGCGUAGAGAUGCGGAGGAAUACCGAUGGCGAAGGCAGCCCCCCGGGAUGACACUGACGCUCAUGCACGAAAGCGUGGGAGCAAACAGGAUUAGAUACCCUGGUAGUCCACGCCCUAAACGAUGUCAACUAGCUGUUGGGGGUUUGGAAUCCUUGGUAGCGUAGCUAACGCGAGAAGUUGACCGCCUGGGGAGUACGGCCGCAAGGUUAAAACUCAAAGGAAUUGACGGGGACCCGCACAAGCGGUGGAUGAUGUGGAUUAAUUCGAUGCAACGCGAAAAACCUUAACCUGGUCUUGACAUGUACAGAACUUUCCAGAGAUGGAUUGGUGCCCGAAA
rnacentral:rRNA from 1 species